AACCACUAAGUUCUGUUGGUUAAAAGACGGGAAGACCUUCCUAUCGCAGCCUGUCAGGGCACUCAAGCUGCUAGAGGGCUUGCUGCUGAGAAAUGGAAAGCAUUUCCCUGCUCAGAGGGGAUACGAUGGAGUUUAAUGAAGAGAGGGCUUAACGGAGCUUUCCAUCAUUGAAAGAAACUCUUGCUUAAUGAAAGAGUAAUAUCUGAUUACAGAACUACAAUACUUCAUAAAAUCUGUAUUGAAUACUGGUUCACAAUUGCUGUAUGCUCUAAGAGAAGAUAACAGACUAACAAUAUUUUGCAGGUGUCCACAGGAUAACUUUAAAAGGG
ensembl:lncRNA